ACAUCUCUUGGAGUUCUAGCUCACCUUUCUGGUGUUGUUCUUGUACUCAUCUGUUUAAUCUAGUUCUGCCACUUCUUCUUGAACUUCUUAUUAGAUUUCAAAUCUGUAUUUUGUGUCCGUGACAGCAAUUGGAAUUAUGAAAAAUAAAGUAUCUUUUUUUGAUAAGAGAAGAGAUCUCAAACUAAGUUGAAGACAAAGUUUUGACGGCCAAGACCACAAAAGGAGUGUGAAGAUUAAUCUUGGAAGAUAUCUUUAGUAAAUAUAGUAGCAUUAGAAAGAUGAGAGCUUAUUGAGAAGAAUUGGAUAUAAUAAAGGCC
rnacentral:lncRNA from 1 species